CGGGGUGGGCUCCAGAGCAGAGGUGUCAGAUGUGCAUUGGAGUUUUCAGGUCUGGCUCCAUUUCGAGAGGUGCGGGUAAUCCACGUGGCAGCUUUUAUUUGUAGAGCGGAUCCUUCUACAAAUCUUAGUUAUAUGUAAAAUCAGCAUGCUGCUUUGGUAUUGUGUGAUCGUGUGUAUGCCAGACUGUGCCCUUGUUCCCCAAAAGCAGGAUGGCGUUCCAUUUUUAAACACUAAAUUUCCAAGGCUUUUUGGUCCAAACGUUGCAUGCGAACCGACUUAAGCUGUUUUCUCAAAUUCAGUUUUCUUUAGUGUUGAGAGUGAUGGUAGGGACUCUUCAGAAUAUAACCUCAUUCUCAUUAAUUCGGCUUGGGAAAACGCAUCCUUUAGGCUGACGUUGUAGACAGCACUGAUCUUUUGAGGUGAGAUUUAAGGACACAGUUUGGGAACAGAUCUUGGUUUUGCGUAUCUGGGGGGGAGGGGGAAUAUGUGGAGUGUUGUCACUAAGAGUUAAGUGUCCCAAAAUGGAUGGGGCUUUUAGGGUAUUCUUUUCUACUUCUAUUUCAGCAGUGUGGAAGCAGUGGCUAAGGACAUGUAGGGGAGGCCCAUCUGAGACAGAUUCAACCACCCUUCCUGUGCUCUCACUUGGCUGCCAGGAAGGGUCUUUCCGAGCCCUAAAAGCCUAGUCCAGCUUGUUGCCAAAGUGGAAGGGCCAUAAAAAGAAGACAGGUCACUCUACAAUCAGGACUCAUUACAUACCAUUAAGGUCCCGGUGGAAUUCCCUCGAUAACUCCGCCACUGCUUUCCAUCAAGGCUAUACAUGAUGAU